rnacentral:rRNA from 1 species
CAGUCGCCGCGGUAAAACGGAGGAUCCAAGCGUUAUCCGGAUUUAUUGGGUUUAAAGGGUGCGUAGGCGGCUUUUUAAGUCAGGGGUGAAAGACGGUAGCUUAACUAUCGCAGUGCCCUUGAUACUGAAGAGCUUGAAUAUAGUUGAGGUAGGCGGAAUGUGACAAGUAGCGGUGAAAUGCAUAGAUAUGUCACAGAACACCAAUUGCGAAGGCAGCUUACUAAGCUAUGAUUGACGCUGAGGCACGAAAGCGUGGGGAUCAAACAGGAUUAGAGACCCCGGUAGUCCCUUCUCUUAUACA